rnacentral:rRNA from 1 species
AGCCUCAGGAAAUUAUCUAAGGUUAGACCUGCCCAAUGUGUAAAAUGAAUGGCCGCGGUACUUUGACCGUGCUAAGGUAGCGCAAUCAAUUGGCUUUUAAUUGGAGCCAGGUAUGAAUGGAGUUACGGGGUUUAGCUGUCUCUUUUUUAUUGUAUUGAAGUUACUUUGCAGGUGAAAAAGCCUGUAGCUAAUAGGGGGACGAGAAGACCCUUAGAGUUUUACCUAUAUUAUUUUUUUUAUAAUGGUUUAGUUGGGGCAACUUAGGAUCAAUUUUUAAACAUCCUUAAAUUAAUUAACCGAUUUUUAUAAAUUUGAAUAAACUACCUUAGGGAUAACAGCAUAAUUUUAUAAAUAAGUUUGUGACCUCGAUGUUGGACUAGGGAACUAAGAGGCUAGCCGCUUUUUAGGUGGGUUCUGUUCGAACUAUUAUUCCU